rnacentral:tRNA from 1 species
AAUAAUGUGCCUGAUAAAAGGAUUAUCGUGAUAGGAUAAAUAAUGUGAUUUAAAUUACCAUUAUUA